rnacentral:rRNA from 1 species
UAAUACAACCUAAAUACCCUAAAGGCACCAGAUCCUGUUUUAUCUUGGAAGCUAGCAGGGUCAGCCCUGGGGAGUACCUGGAUAGGAAACUAUCAGUGAAUACCGGGUACUGUAGGCA